rnacentral:rRNA from 1 species
AUAUCAAUAAGCGGAGGAAAAGAAACCAACAGGGAUUGCCUCAGUAACGGCGAGUGAAGCGGCAACAGCUCAAAUUUGUAAUCUGGCCUCUUCGGGGUCCGAGUUGUAAUUUGCAGAGGAUGUUUCGGGGGUGGCGCCGGUCGAAGUCCCUUGGAACAGGGUGUCACAGAGGGUGAGAAUCCCGUACGUGGCCGGCAAACCAGCCCCCAAGUGAAACUCCUUCGACGAGUCGAGUUGUUUGGGAAUGCAGCUCAAAAUGGGUGGUAAAUUUCAUCUAAAGCUAAAUACCGGCCAGAGACCGAUAGCGCACAAGUAGAGUGAUCGAAAGAUGAAAAGCACUUUGGAAAGAGAGUCAAACAGUACGUGAAAUUGUUGAAAGGGAAGCGCUUGCGACCAGACCUGCCCGUGGGUGCUCAGCGGCGGUUUUCCGCCGUGCACUCGCCCACGAUCAGGCCAGCAUCAGUUCCGGCGACCGGAUAAAGGCCUGAGGAAUGUGGCUCCCCUCGGGGAGUGUUAUAGCCUUGGGUGUCAUGCGGCCAGCUGGGACUGAGGACCGCGCUUCGGCAAGGAUGCUGGCGUAAUGGUCGUAAGCGACCCGUCUUGAAACACGGACCAAGGAGUGUAACAUUUAUGCGAGUGUUUGGGUGUCAAACCCAUGCGCGCAAUGAAAGUGAACGAUGGUCAGAGCUCUUUGGGUGCAUGAUCGACCGAUCUUGAAGUUUACGGAUGGAUUUGAGUAUGAGCAUAAAUGUCACGACCCGAAAGAUGGUGAUCUAUGCCUGAAUAGGGUGAAGCCAGAGGAAACUCUGGUGGAGGCUCGCAGCGGUUCUGACGUGCAAAUCGAUCGUCAAAUUUGGGCAUAGGGGCGAAAGACUAAUCGAACCAUCUAGUAGCUGGUUCCUGCCGAAU